rnacentral:lncRNA from 1 species
GGAGAUUUGGACACACACACCACACACACACACACGGAGAACACCAUGUGAAGAUGAAGGCAGAGGCAGAGAUGGGGAUAUUAAUGCUGAGAAAAAACUAACCUUAGUGCAACACACAGAAACAGCAUCAACUAUAAAGUUCUGGACAAAGAAAAAUGUAAUUUCUCCCACACCAAAGCCUUGGUUCCACUCAGGAUUGGGCAUCAUCAUAGACUACCUCCUUGGAAGAGGAGAAGAGCUACUUAGUAACUCUCUUGAGAAAAAUCUCAGAUGGUGAACUAUGAGAGGGCCAACCCACAUACACAGUAAAAAAUAAAAUUUAUUUAAGAUGCCAGCAAGAGGUAAAGCAAGAGGUCAAAUAAAAAGAAGGAAGUCCAGCCCAAGUGGAAUGAAAGCAAGAGGUUCAAAUGGCCAAAACAAUAGCCUACAAAAAUGCGGUGACGAAUGACCAGAGAGAAGAAAAAGGAAUUGCUUUCUGCCUCCAAGCUGAACUUGGAACCUAGGUCUUUCUGAGCACGAUGUUGUCCUACGUC